AGAGUUUGAUCCUGGCUCAGGAUGAACGCUGGCGGUCUGCUUAACACAUGCAAGUCGAACGGAGUACUUCGGUACUUAGUGGCGGACGGGUGAGUAACGCGUGAGGAUCUGCCCUCAGGAGGGGGACAACGACUGGAAACGGUCGCUAAUACCCCAUAUGCCGAGAGGUGAAAUGUUUUUUCGCCUGAGGAUGAGCUCGCGUCAGAUUAGCUAGUUGGUGGGGUAACGGCCUACCAAGGCGACGAUCUGUAGCUGGUCUGAGAGGAUGAUCAGCCACACUGGGACUGAGACACGGCCCAGACUCCUACGGGAGGCAGCAGUGGGGAAUUUUCCGCAAUGGGCGAAAGCCUGACGGAGCAAGACCGCGUGAGGGAUGACGGCCUAAUGGUUGUAAACCUCUUUUCUCUGGGAAGAUAAUGACGGUACCAGAGGAAUAAGCCUCGGCUAACUCCGUGCCAGCAGCCGCGGUAAUACGGAGGAGGCAAGCGUUAUCCGGAAUUAUUGGGCGUAAAGCGUCCGUAGGUGGUUAAUCAAGUCAGCUGUUAAAGAGCGGAGCUCAACUCCGUUAGAGCGGUUGAAACUGAUUGACUAGAGUUUGGUAGGGGUCGAGGGAAUUCCCAGUGUAGCGGUGAAAUGCGUAGAUAUUGGGAAGAACACCGGUGGCGAAAGCGCUCGACUGGGCCUGAACUGACACUGAGGGACGAAAGCUAGGGGAGCGAAAGGGAUUAGAUACCCCUGUAGUCCUAGCCGUAAACGAUGGAUACUAGGUGUUGCUCGUUAUCGACCCGAGCCGUGCCGAAGC
rnacentral:rRNA from 1 species